rnacentral:rRNA from 1 species
UGGGGAAUUUUGGACAAUGGGCGCAAGCCUGAUCCAGCCAUGCCGCGUGCGGGAAGAAGGCCUUCGGGUUGUAAACCGCUUUUGUCAGGGAAGAAAUCUUCUGAGUUAAUACCUCGGGAGGAUGACGGUACCUGAAGAAUAAGCACCGGCUAACUACGUGCCAGCAGCCGCGGUAAUACGUAGGGUGCAAGCGUUAAUCGGAAUUACUGGGCGUAAAGCGUGCGCAGGCGGUUUUGUAAGACAGAGGUGAAAUCCCCGGGCUCAACCUGGGAACUGCCUUUGUGACUGCAAGGCUUGAGUGCGGCAGAGGGGGAUGGAAUUCCGCGUGUAGCAGUGAAAUGCGUAGAUAUGCGGAGGAACACCGAUGGCGAAGGCAAUCCCCUGGGCCUGCACUGACGCUCAUGCACGAAAGCGUGGGGAGC